AAAAUGGGCUAAAAAACUUGUUCGGCGAGUUAAGUAACAACAGCUCGGCCCAGUCCCUUGACAGGCCGAAUUGGGCCGAGCUUUAGCCGAUUAGGGUUCUUCCCAGCGUUCUAGUGUGAGACCUGCAGCUUCCCCCCAAUUGAAUCAGCAGCUACCAGAUCUGACCAGAUCUCCUCCCUGAUUCGACCAGGGAUAAGCAAAUUUCCGGCGAAUUCCCCCCGCCCCUCUGCAAUUUCUCGGCCUCGAUUGUUGCCUCGUCGAUCUCCGCAAAAUCGAUUGUAAAUUUUCUUUUCCCCGAUUAUUAUGCACGCACCCAAUACGGAUAGUAUCUUGAGCCACCGCAGCCCGACGGAUUGUUCGGGUGGCGAUUUCGUUAUCUUUCUCCAUGUUCUUCGUAACAUCUCUACGGUUUUACAGGAGUCGGGGUCAUUUUGACGACCUGUAGCUUCCAGAUUCGAUGGCCAUAAUUGGUUUUCUCUUCCAGUUACUCCCAGAUCAAGUUGCGGCUCUAAUAGCCAUAGCCCGAGAAAUAGACUCCCUCGCACGCUGAUAAAUUUAUUGCUCUUGCGAUUUGUUCUUUGAUUAAUCUUGGUAUCUACGUAAUUGACAUUUCGUUUUUUUAGUUUGGUUAUUUCUGCGUUACUGUCAGGCCUGCGUAUAUGAUUUCUCCAUCUUUUUUUAGGAUACUUAAUUACAAUUGUUCUUGUGUGGCUUUGAUGACAACAAGAUUACUUCCUCAUACCUUAAUUUCAGUUAAGGACCAAAGCUGAUGACUUUAUUUGUGCGUGUCUGAGCCUCUGCACUUUUUUUUUCCUGCAGUGCAGUUGUUUAAGUUUGGUUCUCUUAUACAGUACUCCCUCCGUCCCAUAAUAUAAGAACGUUUUGAAACUACAUUAGUGUCAAAAACGUUCUUAUAUUAUGGGACAGAGGGAGUACCUUCUUAAGCUGGUUUUUGUCUCGGAUUUUGUUUCUUGUAUUUUAGACGACAAUUGUGUAUUGCAGGAACUAGUUUGCGUGGCUGUGAUGACAACUAGGUUACUUGUUCAUAACUUAAUUUCAGUUAAGGACCAAACCUGAUGACUUUAUUUGUGCUUGUCUGAGCCGUUGCACUUGUUUGUGUCUUGAGUGCAGCUGUUUAAAUCUGGUUCUCUUCCAGUUGUUCUAAGGACCAAACCUUCUUAAGUUGGUUUGUCUGGAUUCUUGUUCUUGUAUUUUAGGCGACAAUUGUGUAUUAGAGGAACUAGCUUGCCUGGCUGUGAUGACAACUAGAUUACUUCUUCAUACCUUAAUUUCAGUUAAGGACCAAAACUGAUGACUCUAUUUGUGCGUGUCUGAGCCGGUGCACUUGUUUGUCUGUGCAGUGCACUUGUUUAAAUUUGGUUCUUUUCUAGUUCUACUCCCUCCGUUCACAAAUAUAAGUUGUUUUGGAAAUUUCAAUAUGGACUACAUACGGACUGAAAUGAGUGAACAAACACACUGAAACGUGUGUAUAUACAUCCGAUUCAGAAAAAGAAAAGGUUAGAACAUCUUAUAUUUGUGAGCAGAGGGAGUACCUUGUAACGUUGGUUUUUGUCAUGAUUUUUGUUCUUGUGUUUUAGGUGACAAAAUUGUGUAAUAGAGGAACUGGUUUGCCUGGCUGUGAUGACAAUAAGAUAACUUCUUCAUACCUUAAUUUCAGUUAAGGACCAAAUCUGAUGACUUUAUUUGUGCGUGUCUGAGCCGGUACACUUGUUUGUCUGUGCAGUUAUUUAAGUGAUUCUGUCCUACCUUCUUAAUCUAAUUUUCGUCACAGAUUUUGUUUCUUGUAUUUGAGGCGACAAUUGUGUAUUAAAGGAACUCUGUGAUGACAACAAGAUUACUUGUUCAUACCUUAAUUUCAGUUGAGGACCAAAGCUGAUGACUUCAUUUGUGCGUGUCUGAGCCUCUGCACUUGUUUUCUUUUUCUGGAGUUCAGCUUUUCAAGUUUGGUUCUCUUAUACAGUACCUUUUGUUAUUUUUUGUCUCGAUUUUGGUUCUUGUAUUUUAGGUGACAAUUGUGUAUUGGAGGAACUAGUUUGCGUGGCUGUGAUGACAACUAGAUUGCUUGUUCAUACCUUAAUUUCAGUUAAGGACCAAAUCUGAUGACUUUAUUUGUGCGUGUCUGAGCCGGCACACUUGUUUAUAUCUUGAGUGCAGCUGUUUAAAUCUGGUUCUUUUCUACCUUCUUACAUUGGUUUGUCUGGAUGUUUGUUCUUGUAUUUUAGGCAACAAUUGUGUAUUAGAGGAACUAGCUUGCAUGGCUGUGAUGACAACUAGAUUACUUCUUUAUACCUUAAAUUUCAGGUGACAAAAUUGUGUAAUAGAGGAACUGGUUUGCCUGGCUGUGAUGACAAUAAGAUAGCUUCUUCAUAUCUUAAUUUCAGUUAAGGACCAAAUCCGAUGACUUUAUUUUUUGCGUGUCUGAGCCGGUACACUUGUUUGUCUGUGCAGUUGUUUAAGUGAUUCUGUCCUACCUUCUUAAUCCGAUUUUCGUCACAGAUUUUGUUUCUUGUAUUUUAGGCGACAAUUGUGUAUUAAAGGAACUAGUUUGCGUGGCUGUGAUGACAACAAGAUUACUUGUUCAUACCUUAAUUUCAAUUGAGGACCAAAUCUGAUGACUUUAUUUGUGCGUGUCUGAGCCGGCACACUUGUUUGUGUAUGCAGUGCAGUUGUUUAAAUUUGGUUGUCUUCUACCAUCUUAUGUUGGUUUUGUUUUAAUUUUUGCUCUUGUAUUUUAGGUGCAAUUGUGUAUUAGAGGAACUAGUUUUGCGUGGCUGUGAUGACAACAAGAUUACUUCUUCAUACCUUAAUUUCUGUUAAGGACCAAACCUGAUGACUUUAUUUGUGCGUGUCUGAGCCGGCGCACUUGUUUCUCUGUGCAGUUGUAUAAGUUUGAUUCUCUUCUACCUUCUUAAGCUGAUUUUCGUCUCAGAUUUUGUUUCUUGCAUUUUACGCGACAAUUGUGUAUUAGAGGAACCAGUUUGGGAGGCUGUGAUGACAGCUAGAUUACUUGUUCAUAACUUAAUUUCAGUUAAUACCAAAUCUGACAACUUUAUUUGUGCGUGUCUGAGCCGGCACACUUGUUUGUCUGUACAGUUGCUUAAGUUCGAUUCUGUCCUACCUUCUUAAGUUUAUUUUCGUCUCAAUUUUCUGGUCUGUGUUUUAGGUGAUGACAAUUGUGUAUUAGAGGAACUAGUUUGCGUGGCUGUGAUGACAACAAGAUUACUUCUUCAUACCUUAAUUUCAGUUAAGGACCAAAACUGAUGACUUUAUUUGUGCGUGUCUGAGCCGGAGCACUUGUUCUGUACUGUUUUUUAAGUUUCAUCCUCUCCUACCUUAUUAAGUUUUUUUGGUCUCAAUUAUUUGUUCUUGUAUUUUAGGUGACAACUGUGUAUUAGACGAACUAGCAUAUUGAUUUUGCAUUCUCCAGUAUCUAUUGUGGUUUAGGUAACAUCACCAAUGAUUGUUCAUGGGAGUUCCACAAUUUUGGCAAGCCAUUGCUUCUUGAUAGCUAUUGGCUUCAGUUACUCCCAUAUUGAUGCAACGCAAGAUAGCCCUUGUACCAUGAAUAUUGUUGGACUUCGGGUUAGGCCUGCCUUCGACAUAUGCAAAUAUGCCUUUGUGCUUUGUACUGUGUUAGCUCGGUUUUGUAUUUUUUUUUGUGUAAACUCAGUUUGGCAUCUUCAGUUGUGAUGUCCUUUUUAUCUGCUUCUAGUGUUCUUGUCUAGCUGAGAUAUUCUGUUUCUUUAUUUAUCAUUUGAUGAGCUUUUUGCAUAUCUGAGCCAAUGCUGCUUAUUCUCGGUGUGCUCCUUGUUGCUAAACGUUUUGUACUAUUUUGGUUUGGUUUGCCCAGGUUUUGUUUCUGAUUAACCGUCUGUUAAAGGCACUUAUUUCAACCCUGUGUAUUUCUUGAUUCUCAUGCAUUUGCAAACUAGAUUAGGCAGAUAUGAUCAAUUCAUCAUAUUCACUUUGCAUUUUCAUGUGUGAUUGAGAUCAAAAUCGUUCUUAUGGUUGAUAUUUCCGUACGGGCACAACAAAACAAUGGUUUUUUCAGGAACUUGCUUCAUAAUGAGAAACUGGCAAAAUUGAAUAACAUCGGCCCAAGAGAGACUGUAUGAUCGUCCUGUAUAGGUAGCUAGCUGGAUACUGUUCUUAUCUGUUGGAUGUCCUAUUGAUACGUAUCUCUGUUGUAAUACUCCUCACUGUAUCAAUCCUGUCCUGAACAUGAUCAAUACAGGAGUAUCAAAUUUAAGGGCCAUCACCA